CGUGUAGGCGGCUUGUUAUGUCGGGUGUGAAAGCCCUCAGCUUAACUGAGGAAGUGCGCCCGAAACUGGCAAGCUUGAGUGCCGGAGAGGAUAGCGGAACACCCGGUGUAGAGGUGAAAUUCGUAGAUAUCGGGUAGAACACCAGUGGCGAAGGCGGCUAUCUGGACGGACACUGACGCUGAGACGCGAAAGCGUGGGGAGCGAACA
rnacentral:rRNA from 1 species